AACCCGUUGGCGUAGUGCAGUGGAGAACGCACUGGACUUCUAUUGAGUAGGCAUCCAGGGAUCAUGGAUUCGAAUACCAUACGGGGCG